rnacentral:misc_RNA from 1 species
CCGAAGUACAGGCCCUUUUAAUAGGGCUACACUUCCACCCUUUGUUUACUAUUCUUUGUUGCUUUGGCGAGACGUCCUCGGACCACCGGCCCUCGGGCUGGUGCGCGCUCGCCAGAGAAAAUCAAACCCAAACCUUUUUUAGUGUUGUCUGAGAAACAAGUUUAAUUAUUA